AGGAUUGUGACCUCAGAUUCUGUCUGGAUUGUCUCCAGGAGUGGGAUGCUGGGAAACCACUUGCAGUGGGGGAUUUGUACGUGGAAAAUUAUAACGCUGACAAAAGUGAAAAAGGAAAUGAAAGCUUCUAUUGAAACUUUGACUCAGGUAGAAGAACCUUUUGACUCGGGUAGAAGUUCAAACGAGGGACCCUGACGCUCUUCUCCCAAAUUAGGAAGCUUUCAGGAUAGUAGAUGGUAAAUAUAGAGAAAAUUACUGAAAUAGAAGAGUAACAGAAUGAAAAACUCUCCAAAGGAAGCAUGAAGAGAAUGAGAAUGGUUACACAGAACGAAUUUAUUUGGGAAUAAAACACAAGAAAAGACAAAAACAAUAACAAUCUUUUGCAUAAUCUCGGGGAAGAGAGAGAGAGUGAGCACUUGUUCGUGUCCAUUGGCUUUCUGAUCACUCCUGAUGAGGGGUGCACAGCUUGGUCUUUGGGCAACUUUAGUCUCUCCUUUCAUUUGUACAGUUCUGUCAAGAAGUCAGGCAUAUCGUCAGUAGUAACUCACAGACUCCUUUGUAAUUAAAUUCAGGCACGCACUCAUUAACUCAUUUGAAUUAAAAUUCCUUACGGAAUACA